GGGUGACUGCGUACCUUUUGUAUAAUGGGUCAGCGACUUAUAUUCUGUAGCAAGGUUAACCGCAUAGGGGAGCCGCAGGGAAACCGAGUCUUAACUGGGCGUUAAGUUGCAGGGUAUAGACCCGAAACCCGGUGAUCUAGCCAUGGGCAGGUUGAAGGUUGGGUAACACUAACUGGAGGACCGAACCGACUAAUGUUGAAAAAUUAGCGGAUGACUUGUGGCUGGGGGUGAAAGGCCAAUCAAACCGGGAGAUAGCUGGUUCUCCCCGAAAGCUAUUUAGGUAGCGCCUCGUGAAGUCAUCUUCGGGGGUAGAGCACUGUUUCGGCUAGGGGGUCAUCCCGACUUACCAACCCGAUGCAAACUGCGAAUACCGAAGAAUGUUAUCACGGGAGACACACGGCGGGUGCUAACGUCCGUCGUGAAGAGGGAAACAACCCAGACCGCCAGCUAAGGUCCCGAAGUCAUGGUUAAGUGGGAAACGAAGUGGGAAGGCUCAGACAGCCAGGAUGUUGGCUUAGAAGCAGCCAUCAUUUAAAGAAAGCGUAAUAGCUCACUGGUCGAGUCGGCCUGCGCGGAAGAUGUAACGGGGCUAAACCAUGCACCGAAGCUGCGGCAGCGACACUCAGGUGUUGUUGGGUAGGGGAGCGUUCUGUAAGCCGCAGAAGGUCUGCUGUGAGGCAGGCUGGAGGUAUCAGAAGUGCGAAUGCUGACAUAAGUAACGAUAAAGCGGGUGAAAAACCCGCUCGCCGGAAGACCAAGGGUUCCUGUCCAACGUUAAUCGGGGCAGGGUGAGUCGACCCCUAAGGCGAGGCCGAAAGGCGUAGUCGAUGGGAAACGGGUUAAUAUUCCCGUACUCGGUGUGACUGCGAAGGGGGGACGGAGAAGGCUAGGCUGGCCGGGCGACGGUUUGUCCCGGUUUAAGCGUGUAGGUGGGCGGUCC
rnacentral:ncRNA from 1 species